AUCUUCGGCGUCGCCGUCCCACUCCUGUCUACAAGGGCAUCGUCCGUGAAUUCGUAUCAUAUGCAGGAUGAGGAUAAUGGAAGGCCAUAUAGGAAGUUCCUCUAAGUGGUUUUAAAGCGAAAUGCCAUAAUAAUUCACUAUGGAUGUGCUUGAACGGCAAAAUUCGGAUCAAGUUUUUCUUGUGAAUCUCUUUGCUAUGCCUUUUUAGUAUUUCGAUGUGCGGCAGCUUAAUGAUUAUUAUCGAACUUUGAUUA